UACGUAGGGUGCUAGCGUUAAUCGGAAUUACUGGGCGUAAAGGGUGCGCAGGCGGUUUUGUAAGUCAGAUGUGAAAUCCCCGGGCUUAACCUGGGAAUUGCGUUUGAAACUACAAAACUAGAGUGUAGCAGAGGGAGGUGGAAUUUCAUGUGUAGCAGUGAAAUGCGUAGAGAUAUGGAAGAACAUCGAUGGCGAAGGCAGCCUCCUGGGUUAACACUGACGCUCAUGCACGAAAGCGUGGGGAGCAAACAGGAUUAGAAACCCUAGUAGUCC
rnacentral:rRNA from 1 species